rnacentral:rRNA from 1 species
GUUAGGAAUAUUGGACAAUGGGCGCAAGCCUGAUCCAGCCAUGCCGCGUGAGUGAUGAAGGCCUUCGGGUUGUAAAGCUCUUUAGUCCACGAAUAUAAUGACUGUAGUGGAAGAAUAAGCCCCGGCUAACUUCGUGCCAGCAGCCGCGGUAAUACGAAGGGGGCGAGCGUUAUUCGGAAUCACUGGGCGUAAAGCGUGCGUAGGCUGUUUUGUAAGUCAGAAGUGAAAGCCCAGGGCUUAACCCUGGAAUUGCUUUUGAAACUACAAGACUCGAAUUCGGGAGAGGAUAGCGGAAUUGUCAGUGUAGCAGUGAAAUGCGUAGAUAUUGACAGGAACACCAGUGGCGCAAGCGGCUAUCUGGACCGAUAUUGACGCUGAGGCACGAAAGCGUGGGGAGCAAACAGGAUUAGAAACCCGAGUAGUC